GAUGAAGAACGUAGCAAAAUGCGAUAAGUAAUGUGAAUUGCAGAAUUCAGUGAAUCAUCGAAUCUUUGAACGCACAUUGCGCCCGCCAGUAUUCUGGCGGGCAUGCCUGUCCGAGCGUCAUUUCAACCCUCGAACCCCUCCGGGGGGUCGGCGUUGGGGAUCGGCCCUUUACGGGGCCGGCCCCGAAAUACAGUGGCGGUCUCGCCGCAGCCUCUCCUGCGCAGUAGUUUGCACACUCGCAUCGGGAGCGCGGCGCGUCCACAGCCGUUAAACACCCCAAACUUCUGAAAUGUUGACCUCGGAUCAGGUAGGAAUACCCGCUGAACUUAAGCAUAUCAAUAAGCGGAGGA
rnacentral:misc_RNA from 1 species